GCAGGUCGGAUAUCAUCUUAGAAGGAUGCAUUGCCUUUCUUGCCGAUGAGGGAUUGCUCGCCACAUCGAGGUGUUGCCAUGGUGCCGCUCUGUGCCGUGGACAGGGAGCCUGCGCGUCAUGAUCACUGACGAGCAAGUGAUCGAGGGGUCCGGAGCACAACAGGUUGAAGAUCCUGAGCAGGAGCUCGCUGAUGGCAAGUGAAGAGCAAGUGCCCCUGAGAAGGACUACUACGACGAGGUCGACAAGGUCUAGGUGUCGUCUCCCAGUCAACUUAAUGGCACCAAGGGAUAAUAAUAUUAGUUCGAUUUAUUUAUUAUAAUUUAUUUUGUAAGACAUUUUCGUUAUGUAAUAAAGUUUGUGACAUUCGUCUCUA